AACGACUCUCGGCAACGGAUAUCUCGGCUCUCGCAUCGAUGAAGAACGUAGCGAAAUGCGAUACUUGGUGUGAAUUGCAAAAUCCCGUGAACCAUCGAGUCUUUGAACGCAAGUUGCGCCCGAAUCCAUUAGGUCGAGGGCACGCCUGCCUGGGCGUCACGC
rnacentral:rRNA from 1 species